GAUGAAGAACGUAGCGAAAUGCGAUAAGUAAUGUGAAUUGCAGAAUUCAGUGAAUCAUCGAAUCUUUGAACGCACCUUGCACCCUUUGGCAUUCUGAAGGGUAUGCUCGUUUGAGUGUCAUUGUACUCUCACACUCCCGAUCUUUGCAUUGGGAGCAGUGGACUUGGGUUUGCUGCUUCACCGUCGCUUACCUCAAAUAGGUUAGUGCAACUCUUGGUUGGACAUAGUACGGCGUGAUAAGUGUUCUUCGCCGGUGCCUCGCAAAGAGGGUGGCCGAUCAGGAUGUUGUGCUCCAAACCGUCUUCGGACAAUCUCUGACGACUUGACCUCAAAUCGAGUAAGACUACCCGCUGAACUUAAGCAUAUCAAUAAGCGGAGGA
rnacentral:misc_RNA from 1 species